CUUAGAGUUUGAUCCUGGCUCAGAACGUACGCUGGCGGCACGCCUAACACAUGCAAGUCGAACGAAGUAGCAAUACUUAGUGGCAGACGGGUGAGUAACAUGUAGGUAUCUGCCCUUUGGCCUGGAAUAACACGAGGAAACUUGUGCUAAUACCGGAUAAGUCUUUACGGAGAAAGCUUUAUGCACCAUUGGAUGAGCCUGCACUUGAUUAGUUUGUUGGUGGGGUAAUGGCCUACCAAGACUGUGAUCAAUAGCUGAUUUGAGAGGAUGAUCAGCCACAUUGGGACUGAGACACGGCCCAAACUCCUACGGGAGGCAGCAGUGGGGAAUCUUGCACAAUGGAGGAAACUCUGAUGCAGCGAUGCCGCGUGAGUGAAGAAGGCCUUUGGGUUGUAAAGCUCUUUCGUCGGGGAAGAAAAUGACUGUACCCGAAUAAGAAGGUCCGGCUAACUUCGUGCCAGCAGCCGCGGUAAUACGAAGGGACCUAGCGUAGUUCGGAAUUACUGGGCUUAAAGAGUUCGUAGGUGGUUGAAAAAGUUAGUGGUGAAAUCCCAGAGCUUAACUCUGGAACUGCCAUUAAAACUUUUCAGCUAGAGUAUGAUAGAGGAAAGCAGAAUUUCUAGUGUAGAGGUGAAAUUCGUAGAUAUUAGAAAGAAUACCAAUUGCGAAGGCAGCUUUCUGGAUCAUUACUGACACUGAGGAACGAAAGCAUGGGUAGCGAAGAGGAUUAGAUACCCUCGUAGUCCAUGCCGUAAACGAUGUGUGUUAGACGUUGGAAAUUUAUUUUCAGUGUCGCAGGGAAACCGAUAAACACACCGCCUGGGGAGUACGACCGCAAGGUUAAAACUCAAAUGAAUUGACGGGGACCCGCACAAGUAGUGGAGCAUGUGGUUUAAUUCGAAGAUACGCGCAGAACCUUACCAACACUUGACAUGUUCGUCGCGACUCUAAGAGAUUAGAGUUUUCGGUUCGGCCGGACGAAACACAGGUGCUGCAUGGCUGUCGUCAGCUCGUGUCGUGAGAUGUUGGGUUAAGUCCCGCAACGAGCGCAACCCUCACUUUUAGUUGCCAUCAUUAAGUUGGGCACUCUGAAAGAACUGCCAGUGAUAAGCUGGAGGAAGGUGGGGAUGACGUCAAGUCCUCAUGGCCCUUACGUGUUGGGCUACACACGUGCUACAAUGGUAUCUACAACAGGAAGCAAGACUGCGAAGUUAAGCAAAUCCCUAAAAGAUACCUCAGUUCGGAUUGCACUCUGCAACUCGAGUGCAUGAAGCUGGAAUUACUAGUAAUCGUGGAUCAGCGUGCCACGGUGAAUGCGUUCCCGGGUCUUGUACACACCGCCCGUCACACCAUGGGAGUUGGUUCUACCUUAAGGCAAGGUUUCAAACCCUUGACCACGGUAUAGUCAGCGACUGGGGUGAAGUCGUAACAAGGUAACC
rnacentral:rRNA from 1 species